UUUCCAGCUUGCUGGAAGAUGACGAGCGGCGGACGGGUGAGUAAAGCAUAGGAAUCUGGCCGAUAGAGGGGGAUAGCCCGGAGAAAUCCGGAUUAAUACCGCAUGUACUCUAAGGAGCAAAGCAGGGGAUCUUCGGACCUUGCGCUAUCGGAUGAGCCUAUGUCGGAUUAGUUAGUUGGUGGGGUAAAGGCCUACCAAGGCGACGAUCCGUAGCUGGUCUGAGAGGAUGAUCAGCCACAUCGGGACUGAGACACGGCCCGAACUCCUACGGGAGGCAGCAGUGGGGAAUAUUGCACAAUGGGCGCAAGCCUGAUGCAGCUAUGCCGCGUGUGUGAAGAAGGCCUUAGGGUUGUAAAGCACUUUCGGUAGUGAGGAAAAGUGUAGUGUUAAUAGCACUAUACCGUGACGUUAACUACAGAAGAAGGACCGGCAAACUCCGUGCCAGCAGCCGCGGUAAUACGGAGGGUCCGAGCGUUAAUCAAUUACUGGGCGUAAAGGGCGCGUAGGCGGUUAUUUAA
rnacentral:rRNA from 1 species